UAAGGCACUGGUCUAAUCUUGUUGCGCGCAACAUUGUUGCUGGCAAAAUCGAAAUGUUGCCAGCAACAUUCAUAGACCACCUCAGCGAUAUGUUGCCGAGCAACAAUGUUGCGCGCAACAAGAUUAGACCGCUGCCUAAG